GGCAAUAACAGGUCUGUGAUGCCCU
rnacentral:ncRNA from 2 species